rnacentral:rRNA from 1 species
UACGUAGGGUGCAAGCGUUGUCCGGAAUUAUUGGGCGUAAAGAGCUCGUAGGCGGUUUGUCGCGUCUGCCGUGAAAGUCCGGGGCUCAACUCCGGAUCUGCGGUGGGUACGGGCAGACUAGAGUGAUGUAGGGGAGACUGGAAUUCCUGGUGUAGCGGUGGAAUGCGCAGAUAUCAGGAGGAACACCGAUGGCGAAGGCAGAUCUCUGGGCCGUAACUGACGCUGAGGAGCGAAAGCAUGGGGAGCGAACAGG